rnacentral:rRNA from 1 species
GAUGAACGCUGGCGGCGUGCCUAAUACAUGCAAGUCGAGCGAACAGACGAGGAGCUUGCUCCUCUGACGUUAGCGGCGGACGGGUGAGUAACACGUGGAUAACCUACCUAUAAGACUGGGAUAACUUCGGGAAACCGGAGCUAAUACCGGAUAAUAUAUUGAACCGCAUGGUUCAAAAGUGAAAGACGGUUUUGCGGUCACUUAUAGAUGGAUCCGCGCCGCAUUAGCUAGUUGGUAAGGUAACGGCUUACCAAGGCAACGAUGCGUAGCCGACCUGAGAGGGUGAUCGGCCACACUGGAACUGAGACACGGUCCAGACUCCUACGGGAGGCAGCAGUAGGGAAUCUUCCGCAAUGGGCGAAAGCCUGACGGAGCAACGCCGCGUGAGUGAUGAAGGUCUUCGGAUCGUAAAACUCUGUUAUUAGGGAAGAACAAAUGUGUAAGUAACUAUGCACGUCUUGACGGUACCUAAUCAGAAAGCCACGGCUAACUACGUG